rnacentral:rRNA from 1 species
AAGAGGGAAGUCGGGGGACCUGGAAGGUCAUU